rnacentral:rRNA from 3 species
CCCCGGUAAACGGCGGCCGUAACUAUAACGGUCCUAAGGUAGCGAAAUUCCUUGUCGGGUAAGUUCCGACCUGCACGAAUGGCGUAAUGAUGGCCAGGCUGUCUCCACCCGAGACUCAGUGAAAUUGAACUCGCUGUGAAGAUGCAGUGUACCCGCGGCAAGACGGAAAGACCCCGUGAACCUUUACUAUAGCUUGACACUGAACAUUGAGCCUUGAUGUGUAGGAUAGGUGGGAGGCUUUGAAGUGUGGACGCCAGUCUGCAUGGAGCCGACCUUGAAAUACCACCCUUUAAUGUUUGAUGUUCUAACGUGGACCCGUAAUCCGGGUUGCGGACAGUGUCUGGUGGGUAGUUUGACUGGGGCGGUCUCCUCCUAAAGAGUAACGGAGGAGCACGAAGGUUGGCUAAUCCUGGUCGGACAUCAGGAGGUUAGUGCAAUGGCAUAAGCCAGCUUGACUGCGAGCGUGACGGCGCGAGCAGGUGCGAAAGCAGGUCAUAGUGAUCCGGUGGUUCUGAAUGGAAGGGCCAUCGCUCAACGGAUAAAAGGUACUCCGGGGAUAACAGGCUGAUACCGCCCAAGAGUUCAUAUCGACGGCGGUGUUUGGCACCUCGAUGUCGGCUCAUCACAUCCUGGGGCUGAAGUAGGUCCCAAGGGUAUGGCUGUUCGCCAUUUAAAGUGGUACGCGAGCUGGGUUUAGAACGUCGUGAGACAGUUCGGUCCCUAUCUGCCGUGGGCGCUGGAGAACUGAGGGGGGCUGCUCCUAGUACGAGAGGACCGGAGUGGACGCAUCACUGGUGUUCGGGUUGUCAUGCCAAUGGCACUGCCCGGUAGCUAAAUGCGGAAGAGAUAAGUGCUGAAAGCAUCUAAGCACGAAACUUGCCCCGAGAUGAGUUCUCCCUGAGACUUAGAGUCUCCUGAAGGAACGUUGAAGACGACGACGUUGAUAGGCCGGGUGUGUAAGCG